UGAAUGCUAAAGAUAGCCAAAGUAAAGAAAGGUAAAGAACAAUGAUUGCUAGAGUGGCAACAUAAAGUGAUGUAAAGAACACUAGAGUUAGUGUAAAGUCAAGAUUGAACAUACAAUCCUUUGAAUUAAGGAUUCGAUCAUACUUGCUAUGAGUUCCGUGCUUGAGGGCGGUCGCACCCCGUCGAGCGAUGCGCUCCGGAGUUUUUGCAUCACGGGUUGGAGUAAACCCGAGGACGGUCCUAGCGGGUGAGUUCCUGCGAUGAUGGACUUAAUGUGAAGCAAGUUUAAUGAGGCGAAACCCCUGGGUUAGCCGUGAGAUUAAAGAACAAAGAACAAAGAAUAAAGAACAAAGCACUUGCAUAAUCUGCAUAAUUAUGUUGAGCAUAUUCCUUGCUUUAUUGUUCAGGCAUAUUAGCAUCAUGUUGUGGGUUGGUUACUAUAUUUCAGUUUAUCCUUUCUUUUAUGCCUGAGUUAGUCCUAUUGGGAAAGUCGGUGAUGUUCGGGCUGAACCCACUGGAAACUUCGUUGUAGUUCUCACCCCACUAUUUUCACAGAGCCGGGACCGAGCGAGCCGGCGAGGGACCGAGGUAAAGGUAUCGCGCCUUAGACAAAGGCCACCAGAGUUGAGUUGGGUUUACAUUUUGUUAGUAGAGUACCCUAUGUUCAUCUUUUGUAUUUGGUGACUAGUGAUGUAAAGAAAAGAAUGUAAAGCUUAUUUCGAGGUAAAUGUGAUGUAAAAAGAAAUGAUGCAAGCGAUGUAAUGUAAUGAAAUGUAAGGAAUCAUGAAUGUAAAGGGAUACAUGUAUGUGAUCAAAAUGAAUCAUAGUACUUGCGUAGUUGCUUAGUUUUCCUAUCUCUUCACUCAUGGCUAUUGCUUCCGUGUUUGUAUAUUUCCGCUAGUGCACUUCUUAUUUGAAAAUGUACAUGUGAUGAGCCUUGGGCGGAUAGGAAAAACUCUGUC
rnacentral:lncRNA from 1 species